rnacentral:lncRNA from 1 species
AAUUUGUCAUGGUAUAAUCUAACUGCUUCUUUCCCAUUUUAUGCUUUAUAUUCUAGGCAGAGCCCUCCUUCACCUUCAGGAAGUGAGGAGAUGGCUGCUCCCUGCCAAGAAAGUGCAGCCAGGUUUCUGGCACACACUGAGCAGGCAGAGAGCUGGUGACUGAGGUUGGCAAGGGUGAGGCUUCUUCAAGUGCAGCGCGGCGCCUCCAGUCAGCCAUGGCUCGAGAAAGCCACAGAAGGGGAGAGGGGGCAGCAGCUGAAAUGUUUGCAAGCUUACAGGAAAGCAGAAUAAUAUGCAAAACCAAGAUGAAACAUGUUUCAGGUCUACAUUGCAACUCAAACAGAAAUGUAAGUCAGCUGAAGACAUCAGAACAAAACUCUCUGUAAGUGUCCUGUGCUAUCAGUUACUCAAGGGAUAGUUCCAGGUAACACACCUUUCAUGCAUAUUGCUUCCUUUGCAGCCUUUGAUGUGACCUUGUGAAAGGUAGGCUCCCUUCAGGAAUGUGCUCUGAGGUCUGAGGCAAGUCAGUUGGAGCUCUAGGAGUGUGGUGUUUCCAGAGACCAGGUUCCAAACUUGCUUGAGAUGUUCGUGUGAACAGCACUCUUUAAAAAGAAAGAAUAUCAGGGUACAGUGUCAUGAUACUUAGAAUACAAAUUCUCAGUAUCAAUUGUGCUAUGGGAGUGUAAUUUGUGCCUUAUAUUCUAAUAAAAUGAAUUGAAUUUUC